rnacentral:rRNA from 1 species
UGGGGAUUAUUGGACAAUGGGCGGAAGCCUGAUCCAGCCAUGCCGCGUGUGUGAAGAAGGCCUUUUGGUUGUAAAGCACUUUAAGCGAGGAGGAGGCUCUUCUAGUUAAUACCUAGGAUGAGUGGACGUUACUCGCAGAAUAAGCACCGGCUAACUCUGUGCCAGCAGCCGCGGUAAUACAGAGGGUGCGAGCGUUAAUCGGAUUUACUGGGCGUAAAGCGUGCGUAGGCGGCUGAUUAAGUCGGAUGUGAAAUCCCUGAGCUUAACUUAGGAAUUGCAUUCGAUACUGGUCAGCUAGAGUAUGGGAGAGGAUGGUAGAAUUCCAGGUGUAGCGGUGAAAUGCGUAGAGAUCUGGAGGAAGACCGAUGGCGAAGGCAGCCAUCUGGCCUAAUGCUGACGCUGAGGUACGAAAGCAUGGGGAGCAAACAGG